rnacentral:misc_RNA from 1 species
GAUGAAGAACGUAGCGAAAUGCGAUAAGUAGUGUGAAUUGCAGAAUUCAGUGAAUCAUCGAAUCUUUGAACGCACAUUGCGUCCCUUGGUAUUCCAUGGGGCAUGCCUGUUCGAGCGUCAUUUGUACCUUCAAGCUUUGCUUGGUGUUGGGUGUUUGUCUCGCCUUUGCGUGUAGACUCGCCUUAAAAUAAUUGGCAGCCGGCGUAUUGAUUUCGGAGCGCAGUACAUCUCGCGCUUUGCACUCAUAACGACAGCGUCCAAAAGUACAUUUUACACUCUUGACCUCGGAUCAGGUAGGGAUACCCGCUGAACUUAAGCAUAUCAAUAAGCGGAGGA